rnacentral:rRNA from 1 species
GAUGAACGCUAGCGGCAGGCCUAAUACAUGCAAGUCGAACGGUGUCUUCGGACAUAGUGGCGCACGGGUGCGUAACACGUAUGCAACCUACCUUACAUUGGGGGAUAGCCUUUCGAAAGGGAGAUUAAUACCGCAUAAGACAGUAGCUGGGCAUCCAGCAGCUGUUAAAGAUUUAUCGAUGUAAGCUGGGCAUGCGUCCAAUUAGCUAGUUGGUGAGGUAACGGCUCACCAAGGCAAUGAUUGGUAGGGGAACUGAGAGGUCAAUCCCCCACACUGGCGCUGAGUUUCGGGCCAGACUCCUACGGGAGGCAGCAGUAGGGAAUAUUGGGCAAUGGACGCAAGUCUGACCCAGCCAUGCCGCGUGCAGGAUGAAGGCGUUAUGCGUUGUAAACUGCUUUUAUACAGGAAGAAACGACUCUUGCGAGAGGCAUUGACGGUACUGUAUGAAUAAGCACCGGCUAACUCCGUGCCAGCCGCCGCGGUAACAC